GACGAACGCUGGCGGCGUGCCUAAUACAUGCAAGUCGAACGCAGUGGGGACGGGUGAGUAACACGUGGGUAACCUCCCAUCAGAGGGGAUAACACUUGGAAAUAGGUGCUAAACCGAUAUGGAUGGACGGACCCGCGGUGCAUUAGCCAGUUGGUGAGGUAAAGGCUCACCAAGGCCACGAUGCAUAGCCGACCUGAGAAGGUGGUCAGCCAAACUGGGACUGGGGAACGGCCCAGACUCCUGAGGGAUGCAGCAGUGGGGAAUCUUCGGCAAUGGACGAAAGUCUGACCGAGCAACGCCGCGUGAGUGAAGGAGGUUUUCGGAUCGUGAAACUCUGUUGUUAGGGAAGCGGUAUCUAACCAGAAAGCCACGGCUAACUACGUGCCAGCAGCCGCGGUAAUUC
rnacentral:rRNA from 1 species